UACGGAGGGUGCAAGCGUUGCUCGGAAUUAUUGGGCGUAAAGGGCAAGUAGGUGGUCUCAUUUGUCAGGGGUGAAAGCCUUGGGCUUAACUCAAGAAGUGCCCCUGAAACGGUGAGACUAGAGUCCUGGAGAGGCGAGUGGAAUACCCGGUGUAGCGGUGAAAUGCGUAGAGAUCGGGUGGAACACCAGAGGCGAAGGCGGCUCGCUGGACAGGCACUGACACUCAACUGCGAAAGCGUGGGGAGCAAACAGG
rnacentral:rRNA from 1 species